AUGUUCCCUCGAUGCCCGCCAUGGAGCUACUCGUCAAGGUCCGUGGCCAGGGUCUCUGCCAUUGGCAUCGGCAUCGUCUACGGCUCCAUCAAGAUCGGCAUCCUCAAGUUAUAUUUCAUAUUUGAAUUCUUGUUAACAGAAACAAGUUACAUCAAAUGGCAUUGUGAAGCUUUCGUUAAACUGUCAAGCAACUUAUUGUUCUAA
rnacentral:rRNA from 1 species